UUUAAUGGCCGCAGUAUUUUGACUGUGCAAAGGUAGCAUAAUCAUUAGUUUCUUAAUUAGAAGCUGGAAUGAAAGGUUGAACGAGAAAAUUUCUGUCUCUUUAUAAUUUUAUUAUAAUUUUAUAUUUUAGUUAGAAAGCUGAAAUGAUUUUGAAAGACGAGAAGACCCUAUAGAGUUUUAUUUUAAAAAUUAAUUAAUUUAAAUUUAUAAUUUAUUUUAUUAGUUUUUUGUAAAAAUUUUAUUGGGGUGAUAAAAAAAAUUAAAAAACUUUUUUUUUAUAUUAACAUUUAUUUAUGAUUAUUUGAUCCAUGUAUUAUGAUUAAAAGAUUAAAUUACCUUAGGGAUAACAGCGUAAUUUCAUUAGAGAGUUCAAAUCGAUAGUGAAGAUUGCGACCUCGAUGUUGGAUUAAAAUAAAUUAUUGGUGUAGAAGCUAAUAUAUUAGGUCUGUUCGACCUUUAAAAUUUUACAUGAUCUGAGUUUAAACCGGUGUGAGCCAGGUUGGUUUCUAUCUUUAAAAUAAGCAAAUAUUUUAGUACGAAAGGACCAAAUAUUUAUAAUAAUUAUUAAUUUGGGAUAAUAUUA
rnacentral:rRNA from 1 species